rnacentral:lncRNA from 1 species
GGCGGCGAAACUCCGGCAACGUGAUCUCGCCGUUCCAUUUUUUGCAUACUGAAGCUGCUUUAGAAAAUUGAUCAACAGGUAGACGUAUGAGACAUUCAAGAGCUAUUUCAUUAGGUAUCCCCGGGAUCAGGUCCAUGGCCCUAGCUCGCCUUUUUGGUAUAUUAUGAUUUGGUCGUAAAUUUGUAUGGAAGAAAAUAUUUGAAGUAAAUUUAGUUAUGUUUUUUCCUUUUUCAGAUUUAGUAGAAAGGGAAAUAAAAUCAUGAAUUUAUGGGGCAAAAUGAAAGGACAUAAUUUAUGGAACGUUGGUUUGACAAAACUGUAAGCGUGACUGGGUCCAGUUUUAUAGUGUUCGUUGGGGAUGGAUAAUGAGUAGUGAAACAAGUUAAAGAGUUUACUUUGUGAAGUAGCAGUGGGGGCAAAGUGGAGGGCACAGAGUCCAGAGAGGUUGUUUUCAGAGUAAUACACACAAGUACUGCAACUUGGUGAAUACGGCUAUAAUCAAAAUUAUAAUUGGCUGGCUAUAAUAUUUAUAGAGUAAUUACAGGCAUAUAACGCGUAGAAGUUCUUGCGAUUGUCACGUGCCAUGACAUCAUUUAUUUAUUUUUUAUCCGAUCUAUAUUAUAUUGUAAAGUUAAAUUGUUCCUAAUUAUAAAAUGGUGACAUUAUUUUUGAGACAGACUAAAAAAAAAAAGAGCGUUAAAUAAAUUGAAACAAAGAGAGUAUCUCACAAGUCAUAUGGUCUCUACAUCAAAUAUAUAGCUAGGUUUAUAAUUGUAAAAUAAUACAUUUAUGUUAAGACUAUAUUUUGUUAAAACAACCCCACAUUAUUAUAUCUACUAACCAUUUAUUUCAUAUGUAAAUAAAAUCUAUAAUCACAUCAUUAUUUUUUAAAAUUUAUUAUUCUCACCAACAUAAAAUUCAUUAUUAAUUUUAAAUUGACGAAUAUAAAUGAUAAAGUAGAAAUUGAUUUGGUGAAUACAAAUAAGAAUCGAGGGAGUAAUAUUUUUUUGGUUUUUCAUAGUAAAAAAAAAAUCUCUUUCGGCUAAAUAUGAAAAUGUUUAAAACAAUUUAAUAUUAAAAUGGACAAAAUUGGUGAUGUAUGUUUGAUAGUUACUACUUCCAGUAUGUUUGAUUUUAGCACGAAACUAAUGCAUUGAAAAUGUGCAAUUGCACACAGGUGAAAUAAGGCAUGAACCAUUAUGAUAUUGACACACACGUGAAAAUUGUCAUAGCUUGUACAAUGUCACAUUUUGCGAGAAUACCAAAGAAGUGAUGGAAUAUUUAUGGUCUAUGAGCAUGAAAAUAUAGUUGCGGAUGAUAUUGACCAACAAAUGGCUCAAAUUAACAAUGUUGGUUCGUCUUCUUUGUCAUAUGAUCGAGAUAUGCAAGUUCAACGUGAGGAGAUUGUAUGUAUUAUGUGGGAGAAUUAUAUUAAAGAUCAGUACGUACACUACAAUUUUAUGUUCAAUUUUUUUAUUGAAUUAAAGUUUGAUCAAUUAAAAUUAGAAGAAAUUGUUACUUAAGUGGAGAACAAAUAACUUUGUAAUAAUUUAUUAUGCGAUUUUAUAAAUUUUUGUUUAUUUUAUAAGAUUGAAUAAACAAUUGGGGGCUAUUUUAAUAGUUUCACAACUUAUAGAAUUCUUAUGUUUAUGAGAAAAUAUACAACACACAUAUUCAAUAUCACAUGUCCAAACAAAACUUCAUUUUCGUCUCAUGAUUUCAUAUUAUGAUAUCAUAUCAUGAUUCUAUAUAAUGAUUUCAUAUCGCAUAUCCAAACAGGCCCUUAAUAUAUACUUAUUUUGUCUAACUUCAGACAAAAAUAUGUUCCUUCUUCACUUUUUCCUCGAACGUCCUCUUCUUUUAUUUCAAAUUUUAAUUUGGUGUUGGUAUGGAGAGUUAAUGCACGCAUGAAUGUAACAAAUACAAUCAUCUGAUAUUUUAAAAAUAUGUAGAAAAGAGAGAAGUGGAAACAUAUAAUACAAUUCAACAAAUACAAUUGCUUAACACUUAAAAAAUAUAGGCCUAACCCAUUGGUAGCCCCCUAAAGUUGGCAUCAUGUUUCACUUAGACAACUUAAGGAGGCAAUGUUCAUUUUAGACAGUUAAUGUAGGGUUUCAUUGUGUCAUUUUGACACUUUUUGUUUACAUAGCAUAACAUUGACUAGCGUGUGAAAUGAUUUUUUUUGUUAAUUUUUAAUUAUAUUUUUCUUCUUCUUCCCAUUUUUUAGCUACCAUUUUGCAUACAUCGUGAAUGAAGGUUUCAAUAACUGAUGGAGUGAAUUUCUUUGAACUAGCAAAAUCUUUCAUUCACUUAAACCUAUUAAUUAGGCCAAAAAAAGAAGGAGAAAGUGACUGUAAAAUUUUUCAAUGGCGCACAGAUUUAGUGAACCAAUGCAGAUGUUUCUGUCAAAGGAAUAAAGGUAUUUAGAGAAGACAAGCCGAUGGGCCAUUUUCUGCAAAAGGUAUGGCGAAGACACACGUUGGGCGGAGAGGAUAAUCAGUGUUUUAGGGGGUGGGGUAUUUGGAGAAAACUGUUUGGGGUGGGGGGUUUCUUUUAUUGAUUUAAGUUUUAUUUUAAUUUGUAAUUAUUUGGUUCAUGUGUCAUAUUAUCAUUGGCUAAUUUUUAUUUUCACUCAAAAUUAAUGAUUUAAAAAUUACUUUUGACAUAAAUGACAAAUGUCGUUAUUUAAUUUGUCACUUUACACGUCGUUCGCGAGUGUAACACACACAUUAUAUAUUUUUGUUGAUAUAAAAAAAGUGUCAAAAUAACACAAUGGGACCCAAUAUUAAGUGUCUAAAAUGAACAUCGCCUACUUAAGAUGUCUAACUGAAAUAUGGUGCCAACUUUAGGGGACUAUCGAUGGAUUAGGCCAAAAAUAUAUAUACAAAUAUAGGCACAGAAGGUGGAAACACAUGCUACAAUCUAAAUCCACUAUGAAAUAUGAAUACAAUAAUUAUAUAUAUCCAAAAAAAUAAUAUAAAUACAGUUGUUUGGUACCUCAACAAAUAUAGAAAUACUUAGAGGGGAGAGUGAAAAUACAAAAUACAAAUAAAGAGGGUGGGGAAAGAUAGAUAUGUUUGUUUGUUUUUUUUACUUAGCAUCUCAAACAAUGUUGAUAUGAAUCGUAAAUAUUCAAACUAUAAUUUUAGAUGGUUAAUUAUAUACCCAAAAUGAUAGUCAUGUUUGAAAUUUUCUCAUUAAUUUAUUCGCAUCAAAGGGAAAAUAUUUGAAACUCCAAUAGUUGACACACCACUAUUAUAAUAUAAGUAUUUCCUCCAUUUUAUUUUAAUAUGUUUCAAAAAGAAACGUCUUUUUUUUUAAGACAAACUCUUUAGUAUUAGCUUUCCACAUAACAUAUUUAAGUUAUCAGAUUAAAAGACAAUUUUAAUGCAUUUUUAGAUAUCUUUAGUUUAAAACCACGAAAUUUUUUUUAAAAAAUAUUUUCUUUAAUGUGAAAGGGAGGGAGAGUACUAGGUAAAACUAUAUAUGUCAUUUACUAUAUAUGGCGUUUACUUGAAAAAAUGCUGAUUAGAGCUUUAUGUAGGAUUCGAGACUGGACCAUUCAACAAAGGUGGACCAUGCAUAUAUAGGCCAUAACUCACUUUUGCUUUUUUGUUUUACCCUUUAAUUUUCUAUACUAACUUGGGAUAUUAAUUGGAUCACACUUUUAUAUGGAUGUGGUAGAAUUAUAUAUUCAUAUCUAUUGAAUUACUAGAUAUAGGACCCCGUGCCAGCACGGGGCCCAAUAUAUAUAUAUAUUUUUUUUUUAUUAUUAUUAUUAUUUUUUUUUAAUUUAUGUCAUAUUAUGGAAUUUGAGAAAUUAUUGAAAAUUUUAUAUGAUUUUUAAAAUAUUUUAAAUUGUUAGCUAUUGUGAUUUGUAGUACUUUUUUUUUAACAUAAUUUUGAAAAUAAUAUUUAUUACUCUCUUUGUUCUAAUUUAUGUGGCACAUGCAAAAUUUCAAAUAUUAACCCUUUUUUAUAUGUCUCUUUAAUAUAUUAAGUUGUUAAUUAUUGUAUUUUAUACUACAUUUUGAACCUACUUUUUUAAUAAUAUAUGUUAUUUGCCAUGUCCCAAUUUAUGUGGCAUUAAUUGAUAGAUUUGUUGGAGCUUGUUAAUUAUUGUAAUAUAUAAUAUGGAGUAUUUAAGUUAUAUAUAUUUAUUAUUAUUAUAAAUAUAAAUAUAAAUAUUAUAUGUUACCUUUUUUAUCUUAAUUUAUAUGGCAUUGAUAGAAUUUAAAGUGUCAAAUAAUUGUUAAUUAUUGUAAUAUAUAAUAUGGAGUAUUUAAGUUAUAUAUAUUUAUUAUUAUUAUAAAUAUAAAUAUAAAUAUUAUAUGUUACCUUUUUUAUCUUAAUUUAUAUGGCAUUGAUAGAAUUUAAAGUGUCAAAUAAUUGUUAAUUAUUGUAAUAUAUAAUAUGGAGUAUUUAAGUCAUUUAUAGUAUAGUAAUUAAUAUAUAAUAUGUAGUAUUAAAGUGGAAAGUGGUGGGGCCCACGUAUAAAUAUAUUGGAUAUUAGUAGUGAUUCUUAUUGGAACACAUGUUGAGGUGUGGUGCUUGGUUAUUCACACUUAUUAUAUAUAGUAAUAUAAAUUUUAAAAGAAAAGAUUCUUUGAGUCUUCUCGAAGGAAAAAGACCGCAAAGAGAAGUUCAUGAUAUCUCUUUCGGAUGAAUUGUCAAAAGUUUAAAAUUUAUAAAUCGUGAAUUCAUAUAACAAUAUAAUUUAGUCAUUGAGUUCAUACAUUUAAUAUGUUGAGAGAGAUCUAAACAAAACUUAUUUGAUUUGUUCGAGCCAACACCUCUUUCUACCAAAGAAACAUGACAUGAAGGGUGAUGGUCAAGUGUUCUGGCAUGAUUCGUUGUCAUGGAAAAAUCCAUUUGCUUAUAACACUACUAUAAAAUGUGAUAGUUUUGGCAACAUUGUAUGUUUUAUAUAUUGGAGAUUUCAAAGUUUUUAAUUGUCUUUUUAUAUAUAUACCAUAUUAUUGUAAGCUAACCAAUGAUGUGGACAACUCGUGUAAAAUACUUUGCCACAGCUAGUUUUAAUCUUUUGUUAUUAUAAUGAUAGUAUAAAAUUUGUUUAAACUAUUAAAUAUAACACAAAUUAUUUAACUCGUGCGUUACAUGCUUGAUUUAUUAAGUGUACCUGAGUCGGGUAUAAAAAAUGAUACUCUUUCUAUAUUCAUUCACAAGAUAAAAAUAAUUAAGAUUGCGUACACAUUACUAUCUUCAAACCCCGCGCAUAGAAAGAAACUUUAGAGUGACGAAAAUUGUGGAGUAGAUUUUUUUUGUUAGUAUCCCAAACUUUAUUAGUCACUACCAUAAGAUUCUCUAUAGCUGGACAAAGCUGCUACGUAAAUAAAAUAAAAGGGGAAAGAAGAAAAAGAGGUAAGGUUGUUUUUAAAACUGAAAGGAAUAAAGGGAAGAGGAAAAAGGAAAAGCGACUAAAUUAAAUUAAAUUAAAUUAAAUGGGAAUAAAGGUAAUCUUCUUGUUUUUUAACAAAGGCUAACCACACUAUAGAUGACUAGCCAUAAAGGCAAAAUGUAUGGUUCAAAUUGCAGACGUGGUAAUGUACACAUUUUAUGUUAGAUGAGAAAACACACUUGAACCAAAAAAAAUAAAAAAAAUAAUGAGAAAAGACGUUUCCUAUUGGUGUUCUAGAUUCGCGCCAUGUAUGACCUAUUAGCGUUGUUUAUCAAGAAUAUUUUCAUCUUCAAAAGUCAAAUUCGAGACUUUUGAUUGAGGAAAGAGCAACUUCAUUCACUUUACCACGUAACAGAUGAUAGUUUUUUCGAUUAUUAGACGGCAACUGACAUUCGAUUAUUCUUUGUCCAUUUUUAGUGCUGUUAAAUCGAUUAGUAUAAUUUGUUUGUUUCCGCAUGUUUGUACGAAGAAUAAGGAAUAGUUAUUAAUUUCAUAAUUAAUUUAAGAUGCAUUUAUUAUAUGUUUGAUUGAGAUAAAAUUAUAAGAUAAUUUACUUUGAGAUUGUAGUGUUAUUUUUAUCCCACAUUAAGAAUGACGAGGCGAGUAACAAAUAUAAAGAGAUAUUAAUAUGGUGCAAAAGAGAGAAAUAAAAUACCCUCUAAUUAAAAAAAAAUUAUUAAAGGGAUGUACAAAACAAAAUACACCCUUGAUUCCUUUUUAUUUGUCACAGUUUCAUUUUUAUAGUGAAACGAUAUGAACUUUGACUAAUAAUUUAAGAUGUAUUUUUCAGUAUUAUUGAUAUAAAAAAAAUUGUAAUUUCUAGUACUUUUUGUAUAGUUUUUGAAUAUCUAAUUUUUUUAUUUUUAAAUAUAUUAAAUUAAUGCAAAACAUUGAAAGUUAAUACUCUAAAAAAAUGUAACGUGACGGCUAAACAGGAACGGAUGGAGUAUAACAAGCAAGAUGGACCAUAGGGAGAAAUUUCUUCCUCAUUAAUACUUAUUAUUGAUUUGUCAGGAAGAAGAAUCAUCUUACCAAGUUGAUUAGCUAAUUAAUCUGAUUAUAAAGUCAACUCCAACAUUAUUGUAAUGAGCAUUAAUUAAUAAUAACAUGUUUAAUUGAACAAAUUCAAGCAUUAGCCACCGAUAUCAUCGAUCCACUUGCUCUAAACCAUCCAUUUUUCAACUUCAUUAUUUUGAGAAUGUAUAAUAGCUUCUUCCCAUAUUUUUUAAUUAAAUGAUGUUUGCAGAUAAUUAUUGAUUCAUUACACUUAAUGUCAAUAAAAUUGAUUUUUGUAACGAAAAAAUUACUCAACUAUGUUUAUAUCGUAAAGGAAAUUUUAAAAUAUCAACAAAAUGAUAUUUUUUUCUUUUUCUUGGUAUUUUUAUUUUGGGAUCCCACUAAUUCAGCAUUUUCGAUAAAAUGUUUUGUUCGACUCUACAAACACAAAUAUCUCUAUAGUAGUACCAAGCAAAAACGUUUUUUUCCUCCAUUAGAUUAGCAAAAGUGUGGCACAAUAGUAAUCUUUAACCAUGACUGCAAGAAAUUGAAUGUCAAAUGUAGGCAGUAGGCCAAUACUAUGCUUUUUCACAUGUAGUAUUUUGUCAAAACAUGAUUCACAAUACACAAUGGUACAUAGCCAAAAAUAAAAGCAAUCAUGACAGAAUAAUUUUAUUUUAUUUUUCCAUUUGUUAUCUGAUAAUCGUAUUAAGGUUUGAUUAGUCCAAAUUUGUAUAUUACAUGACUCAUUGUUAAAGGCGGUGCUUCCAACAAAAUUAAAAAAUGAGACGGAUCGAGAUAGAAGAUCUCUAACCAUGACCAUAAUGCAAUAACAAUAUGUAGAUAGUAAUCAAUAUGGAUCGUGGUGAAAUGAUUGAGAUUCCUCUAUCCUUGACCAGAAAUUUCAUAUUCGAGCCCUAAUAUGCCGAAUGAAAAAAGAAGACAAUAUGCAGAUAGUAAACCAAUUCAAAACUUGAAACACAAUACACAACUGUACAUGCUAAAAAUUAGAGCAAUCAUGCCAGAAUAAUUGAGUAUCUUAGAAAGGAAAUUAAAAGGACAAAAAAACACUCUCAUUCUUAAAACUAAGUACUGAUUUUUGUCAUAUUUCCAAACAACAACCAUAUUGAACAUGACCACUAUAUUCAUCAGAAGUUUCUACUUUUGUCCAUUUUUUCACUUUGCCAUCACUCUCCACAUCCAAAUCCAAAGCAUAAAUACUAUAUAGUUCAUCAAAUUGGCCCCUUCCCACCAAUAUCAACUUCCCUUGACACGCUGUCAAAUAUGCCACGCUGGUAAUCCCUGCUGGCAACCCCGCCAACUUCUGCCACGUAGGAUCUUCCUUCACUGCCACGUCACCACCUCGGCACAGGUAUAAUCUCCCAUCAUCACCUUCAAUGCAACUAUGAGGAGAAGUGUUGAUCACACUCAAGAAGUCAUCUUCCAGUUGCCACUGCCACGUGGCGGUGUCGAACACCUCAGCAUCAUUCUCAAAGUGACCUUGCGCCCACGUAGGAUAACCGCCGAUGACGUGGAAUUUACCUUUGUGAAAUACAACCUUACAUUCGUCUCUCUCCAUGACCAUGUCAGGAAGUGUAAUCCACUCGUCUUUAACGACGUCGUAUGAGAGCGCCGAUUUCAUCGCAUUCUUUUCGUCGUCAUGGCCACCGGCGACGACGAUCAUUCUAUCGGAAUCCGAUGCACAUCCGAAGAACGACCUCUGCUGACCUGGCAUAUCCGCCCCACGACGCCAUGACCCGGAUAUGAAAUUGUAAACGAAAACACAAUCCAUAACCCGCCAAGUAUCCGGAUCACACCCGCCAAUCACUACUAAAUCCGACCCGACUCCAACAAUCCGGCAAAACCUCGGCAAUCCAUCAAUCAACUCCGGUAUUGGCGGCAAAUCGUACCAGGAGCCGUUUUCCGGGUCACAUACGGAGAGACGGUAAACCUGAGUAGAAAAAAGUGCAGUAUCACCCUCUGAUUUUUUCACAGUAGCAACCAUAGAUUGUACCAUGGCUAAAACGGGUCGGGUCAACCCGGAAAAUUUCCGCCGGCGGAGAAACUCCGGCAACUUGAUCUCACCGUUCCAUUUUCUACAUACUGAAGCUGCUUUAGAAAAUUGAUCAACAGGGAGACGUAUGAGACAUUCAAGAGCUAUUUCAUUAGGUAGCCCCGGGAUCAAGUCCAUGGCUCUAGCUUACUUUUUUUGUAUUAUGAUUUGCUUUUGGAUUGGAAGAAAUAUUUGAAGCAAUUUUAGUUAUGGUUUUUCCAUUUUCAGAUUUAGUAGAAAGGGAAAUAAAAUGAUGAAUUUAUGACAAAAUGGAAGGACGUUGGUUUGACAAAACCGUAAGCGUGUGUGGGUGCAGGUUUAUACUGUUUGUUGCGGAUGGAUAAAUGAGUAGGGACACAAAAAAAGAGUUUACUUUGUGAAGUAGCAGUAGGGGCAAAGGAGAGGUUGUUUUCAGAGUAAUACACAAGUAGCGCAACUUGGUGAAUACGGCUAUAAUCAAAAUUAUUAUAAUAUUUAUAGAGGUACAGGCAUAUGAUGUUAAGAAGUUCUUGCGAUUGUCACGUGCCAUGACAUCAUGUUUUAAUUGAUACGAUUCGUAUUGAAUUCCAACUAAAUUAUGAGUACUUAUAUAACAUAGUACUUGAUAAAAAAAAAGUCAAAAGUUAUGAAGUUUUAAGUAUAAAUUAUUAAAAAACAAAGUAAAAUAAUAAAUUUAUUUAUUUAAAUUUUGGUGGAUAAAAUUAUUCGAUACUAUGCAGGGUGGAGGUACUACUCAUUUGGAGUACAUUAAACGCUCGAUAUGAAUAAUUUUCCAGUGGUUUCUUAGUCUUGGUCUUUCCAUUAUUUUGUUAAUUAUUAUAGUUGGCUAUUAAUAAUAUAUAUGCCUUUCUGGCCCCAUUCGUAAUGUUUACUGCUUGUCACUAAUAUUUUUUUAAUAUUGUCUUUUCAUUGUUUAAAACUAUCUAUGUUUUGUAAUUUUAUGUAAUGCAUUUUCACAACUCAUACCUUACCACUAAACAAUCGAUCAAUUUUGUUACGGGAUUCAUAAGUUAAUAUACACAUAUAUUUAUUUAAUUUUUUAAUAUAAAUACAAGAAUUACGGAAAAGCUACUGAGUUAGUCCAAAUCAGCAAACCCUCACUCAGCUCCGCCCCUUAUCCCAUCAUUUGUUGUUUACCCUUGCUUGGUAUUUAACUAUUCGAACACGUUCGGCAUCAAAUACGUUAAUGAUUUGUACUUUAUAACCAUUUAGUUUAAUGACAAUUAUAGAGUCGUGUUAUAAGAUGGGUCUCAAUAAUUAAUAAGAUAAUUCUCUUGUAGAAAAAUAUUACACAAAAACUAGCAAGUUUAAAAUAAAAUAAUGGAGAUAAUAAUCCGGUAAAUUGACUUUAUGCUAGUGCCUAUUUUUUAGCGGUUUAUUUGGUAUUUUGAAUAAUUUAAAUUUGUGCUGAAAAUUUUCAUAUUUGGAGGCAAAAACAUGUCCUACCCAAAAUUACCAGACUAACCUAUUAUUACUUUUACUAAAACUGGUCUUUAGCGACAAGUUAUAGUAUAAGUUAAUUAUAGCUAAAUAUGUUUCUUAAAGGUAUAUAUUACUCUUUGUAAAUGUUGCUAAAACCUCUAAAGAUAUUGCAUUCAAUGUCAAUUAACUAAUGUCGAUAAAUAUUUUAUUAUUUUUUUAUUAAUGUACAUAUUUUUUUUCACGAAAAAUUGCUUUUUUGGGGAGUAUACCUCCUAUGCUUUUCAAACCCCUUUCUAGUCCUCUUAUCCUUAGUUCCCCUUAUCUUUUCUUCUUGCCCUAUUCAAUGUUAAUUAGGCAUGUUUCAGCAUGCUGCUUUGAUAUUUUUGAAUUUCAAACUAACAUAAUUUAAUUGAUUUUGCCGGAUCUAUACGAAAUCAAAAUGGUCAUAUAUUCUAGGAUGAUUCAACUUUAAUAAGUUGAAACAUAUUAACAAAUUUAUUAUAUUGUGUAUAGCUUAGUCUAGCUUCAUUAUUUUCCACAUGAUACAUUCUUAAUCUUAGAAUAUAAGCUAUUAGUUUUUAGCACUUCAAAUGAUGAUGUUUUCAUAAAUGUUGACAUUGACAAAUUUAUAAUCUAAUUCAUCAUAUAUAUAUAUAUAUCUAAGCACAUGGAACUAGUCUUUUCCUUGAAAUAAGAUGCAAUGAAAAAAAAUAACUUUGCUAAUGAAGCAUGACAACUAUGUUCACAUUAUUUUACAAGGUAUUUGUUGAAUAUAUCUAACGUUUAUUUCACAAUAUCUACUUGAAAUUAUAAAUUAAAAAAAAAAGAGACAAACAAUUUAGAUAUAUUACAUCAAAAGGCGGUGCCUUCUAGUAGAUUAAAUAUUUUGCGCAUGAAAGUUAUAAACAAGUGAGAUCAGAAGUGGGACGUACAAAUUGAGAUUGUAUUUGUUGUGAACCAAACUAACUACAUAAGGGCCUAUGGGCUGGAAGUGGUGAAUGAGACUGGUCCAUUUAAGAUUAUUGGGCUGAUUAAAAUGUUGGAGAGUUUUAUUUGGAAUCCAGGCCCAACUAUCAAUUGGUUAAAUAGGUCUUUGAGUUAACACAAAAGGGUUAUGUGAAUUAUGAUUAUGCUUAGGCAAAGACUAUGCUUCUCAUCCCCAAUUCUCUCUUAGUUCCCUCAUCCCAUCUUCUUUAUAGCUACUGUUAUUGAUCGUCUUUUUCAUAUUGUAAUUGCUCAAUUUUCGUAUGAAUCAAAGCUUGUUAGUUUGUUCUCUCUAUUGUUUGUUGUUGAGUUGAGAAAAUCACUACAUCCAAGUAGCGUUUGUUACAGUAUCUAUGGUUGUUUUUCGAUUAAUUCGUUUUUGCACUAUAUAGAAUAGGCAUAAUACAUAAAUUGGACCCUAAAAUUGGCUUCGAAUUUUAAGUAUGACCUCUAACUUUCAAAGUGCACAAGUAGGCACUUCAACUAUCCAAUUCUUAAACAAAAAAACACCCGAAUCCAACCUGGCAUAACGCGUGAUUGAGACGCAAUUCAGGUGCGAGGCCCACAACAGUAAAAAAAAAAAAAAAAAAAAACGGGAAAAAAAAACAGUUAUCUGAUAAUCGUAUUAAGGUUUGAUUAGUCCAAAUUUGUAUAUUACAUGACUCAUUGUUAAAGGCGGUGCUUCCAACAAAAUUAAAAAAUGAGACGGAUCGAGGUAGAAGAUCUCUAACCAUGACCAUAAUGCAAUAACAAUAUGUAGAUAGUAAUCAGUAUGGAUCGUGGUGAAAUGGUUGAGAUUCCUCUAUCCUUGACCAGAAAUUUCAUAUUCGAGCCCUAAUAUGCCGAAUGAAAAAAGAAGACAAUAUGCAGAUAGUAAACCAAUUCAAAACUUGAAACACAAUACACAACUGUACAUGCUAAAAAUUAGAGCAAUCAUGCCAGAAUAAUUGAGUAUCUUAGAAAGGAAAUUAAAAGGACAAAAAAUCACUCUCAUUCUUAAAACUAUGUACUGAUUUUUGUCAUAUUUCCAAACAACAACCAUAUUGAACAUGACCACUAUAUUCAUCAGAAGUUUCUACUUUUGUCCAUUUUUUCACUUUGUCAUCACUCUCCACAUCCAAAUCCAAAGCAUAAAUACUAUAUAGUUCAUCAAAUUGGCCCCUUCCCACCAAUAUCAACUUCCCUUGACACGCUGUCAAAUAUGCCACGCUGGUAAUCCCUGCUGGCAACCCCGCCAACUUCUGCCACGUAGGAUCUUCCUUCACUGCCACGUCACCGCCUCGGCACAUGUAUAAUCUCCCAUCAUCACCUUCAAUGCAACUAUGAGGAGAAGUGUUGAUCACACUCAAGAAGUCAUCUUCCAGUUGCCACUGCCACGUGGCGGUGUCGAACACCUCAGCAUCAUUCUCAAAGUGACCUUGCGCCCACGUAGGAUAACCGCCGAUGACGUGGAAUUUACCUUUGUGAAAUACAACCUUACAUUCGUCUCUCUCCAUGACCAUGUCAGGAAGUGUAAUCCACUCGUCUUUAACGACGUCGUAUGAGAGCGCCGAUUUCAUCGCAUUCUUUUCGUCGUCAUGGCCACCGGCGACGACGAUCAUUCUAUCGGAAUCCGAUGCACAUCCGAAGAACGACCUCUGCUGACCUGGCAUAUCCGCCCCACGACGCCAUGACCCGGAUAUGAAAUUGUAAAUGAAAACACAGUCCAUAACCCGCCAAGUAUCCGGGUCACACCCGCCAAUCACUACUAAAUCCGACCCGACUCCAACAAUCCGGCAAAACCUCGGCAAUCCAUAAAUCAACUCCGAUAUCGGCGGCAAAUCAUACCAGGAGCCGUUUUCCGGGUCACAUACAGAGAGCCGGUAAACCUGAGUAGAAAAAAGUGCAGUAUCACCCUCUGGUUUUUUCACAGUAGCAACCAUAGAUUGUACCAUGGCUAAAACGGUUCGGGUCAACCCGGAAACUUUCCGCCGGCGGCGAAACUCCGGCAACGUGAUCUCACCGUUCCAUUUUUUGCAUACUGAAGCUGCUUUAGAAAAUUGAUCAACAGGGAGACGUAUGAGACAUUCAAGAGCUAUUUCAUUAGGUAGCCCCGGGAUCAGGUCCAUGGCUCUAGCUCGCUUUUUUUGGUAUUAUGAUUUGGUCGUAAAUUUGUAUGGAAGAAAAUAUUUGAAGUAAAUUUAGUUAUGUUUUUUC